CCAGAGCCAGAAUCCAGGGGUCAAAGUUAAUUUCCUUCCACAUUCCCCUUUCCCUUGUGGAAGGAAAGAGGAGGGAAGAGUUGGUCUAAAGGACCCUUUCUUGAGAUUUGAAACUGGGCUACCUCCUCCCCUCUACCCCCAGGGCCACCCAGGCUUCCACAGAGAACAGGCACUGCAGCCACCCUUCCCGUGGAGGAAAGGGUUAAGGGAGUUCAGGGUGGGGAGCCCCGGGAGGCUGGGGACUGAGGAAACUCUGGGCUGGAGACCAAGCAGGAAGGAAAGGGGAAUAGCACUGACUCCCCACCCCCACUCAAGAAUGGGCCAGCCUGGGGCUGGCGGACAGCCCAGAGCCUCCUGAAGCCCCCCAGGGCUAGAGGGGCAGGGGGAGCUGCCGGAGUUUUCAGACUUGAGUUGUUUAUGAAAGCCCUUUUUAGCAAGUAUGAGUUAUGCUGUGAGGGAGUGACAGGGAGGAUCUGAUUGGUAGCAUAACCUCCCGAGGUCUCCUUUCACCCUUGACCUACAGCGGCCUGCCAGCCAGCUGACAUAAGUGGUCUGGGACUAGACCUGGACUGGGGGCCACCUUCAAAACUCAGGUCCCACAGGCACAAAGAAUACCUUAUACAGACCUGUGCCCUGACAAGAACCCAGUGAUGUGGAGGCAGGGUCUGCACUUGGAACACAGAGAACUUACUUUCCAAACCAAAAUCAAGAGCCAGGGUCAGAUAGGCACAAGUGUGCCUAUGGGGACAAAGCAACGUGGAUUUUAAAUUAGGCCUGCCCUGGAACAUCUGGGCUGCAGGGCUGUCUAUGUGUCUGUACAGGCAAGGGGCCCAACUGGGACUGGGGAGGAGCUUAGGCUACUCCUAGUUGGGACUUGAAUUAGCCCACCACACCCCACCCCCAGUUCUGGUCCCCAGAUUGGAACUCAGAGAGGGAAAAGGUGAUCUGUGUUAGCUCUAGCUAACUGACUCCUGGUCUUGCCUCUCAAGUGGCAAAGAACCUUAGGGUUGAUCUCUAAUGCUCUCUACCCUUCCCAUCCCUAACUGUGCUCUGUGUCAAAGAGGCCCUGCCUUAUUGUGCUUCUGUUUCUCUCCUAACCAAGAUAAGAGCCACAUACCCUGCUCCUCUGAAUGAAUGCUUCAUUCUUGUAUUCCCCUUCCCACUUCCCAGGCACAGUGGCCAUCAUUAAAGAAAACCCCCAGAUUUAAUCCUAUGUCCAAUAAGGUCAUGUGGAAGAAGGGAAGAGGUCAAACUUAGGCAUUAGAUACUUCAUAAAUGGGUAAAAGAAGGCAAAUUAAACUCUUAUGCCUCUGUUUCCUUAGUUUAUAAAAAUGGGGAUAAUGGGGCUGGGCCUGGGGCUCAGUGGUAGAGCGCUUGCCUUGCAUGUGUGAGGCACUGGGUUGGAUCCUCAGCACCACAUAAAAAUGAAUAAAUAAAGAUAUUGUGUUCAUCUACAACUAAAAAAGAAAAUUUAAAUAAAUGGGGAUAAUGAUUCCUACAGCAGAGGUAUAAAUCACACCACACAGGUAAAGCAUCUGGCAUAGUGCCUAGCACAGAGUAGGUGCCCAACAAGUAUUAUUUUUCCUUUCCUAGAUGUUGUCUCUUCUUCCCUAUCUCAAGUCUGGUCCAUAAUCAUCAUAACUUCCCAGAAAUCCCCUCCUCCUUUCCUCACCCUUUCUACAAACUCACCCCCACCUCCUGCCUGUUCGUGAAUAUGGCCAGAGAGCCUGGUUUUCACCCAGUUUUGCCAGUAAUGAGUUGUGAACCCUUAAACCAGUCACUGUAUCCCUUGCCUGCUCCAGGCUUCCUCAUCUGCAUUCAUUCAUUACACCAAGUUGAUUCAACAAUUUCUUUUUUUUUUUAAUAUUUAUUUAGUUGUAGAUAAACACACAGUAUCUUUAUUUAUUUUUAUGUGGUACUGAGGAUUGAACCUAGUGCCUCACAUAUGCAAGGCAAGCACUUUACCACUGAGCUACAGCCUCAAUCCCCUGAUUCAACAAUUUCAACACCUAUUUAUUGAUUAUCUACUAAGAGCCAGGCCCUCAGAGUAUCUCCUUGCCCUUAUGGAAUUAGGGAAAGGAAGAAAAAGGAAACAGUGUGAUUUCAGGGAAUGAUAAAUACUCUACUGGAAAUAAAACAGGUAGAGAGUGCCUUGAUGGCACCUCUCUGGGCACCUCUCAGCUAGAGGGAAAGCAAGAAGCUAAACUCUUUAACAAUUUUUGAUCCAAGUCUCUCCCCAGCUCAAAUAUAUUCCAUUCAGUGAUUUUUGAACUACAAUAUUAGGUUAAAACUUGUUUGAUUGGAGGCCUUCUGCAGCAAGGGCCAAAUCUACCUUCCCAACAUUGUCUAGAAGGAUCCCAGCCCAAGUGUAAGUAGAAUUAGAUAUGUCUAGGCAUGUCUGGCAACAGGGAGCUCACCCUGCCAGGAGUCUGUUUAAAAUGAGAAAUGAGAGGCCUCCAAGGAGAAAGCUCAUCUCAAUUAAAGGAGGUGCCUGCCCUGUAAGCUUGAUGGGGUGAAUGAUCCUAUCCCUCUAAAGCUCCAGAGGGAGGAGCAGUUCUGUCACUCAAAUACCUAGCAGUUCAGGUUCACACCUAUCUAAGUUCCUGGAUGGGGUGGAAACCCCUGGGAUACAGGCAGCCCUGCUUGGGAAUUUAUGUGGGAGUAACCCAGAAAAGAAGACAGGCUUCUCCUAGAUUUCCAUAGUUCCUGAGCAGCUUUCAUUCCUAGGGGGCUCGGACUCCCAUCAGAGCAGAAGUGGCUUCCCUUAAUUGUCAGGAUUGUUAAGUUGAUUCCAAAUGAGCAGGUGGAAGCAAAAGCCCAGGAGGCUGGAGUUACUGCUUUGUAUGUCACUCAAAAUGGUGGUUCCCCCAGAUUGAUUAAGAUCUGGGUAGAAACACCUGGUAUGUUCAAAAGGGAGUUCUGAAGGAAGUUUAAAGUAUAGGUCUUUUGAGGGGAUGUGGGCAGAGUUGGGGAAAAUGAGUAAGAGACUGGUGUAGUGUUCUGGGGCUAGUAUCAGUGGGAAGCUCUUACCAUCUGGAGAUUUGAAAGGGAAAAGACAAGAAUGGGUGCUUGGGGUAAAACUGG
rnacentral:lncRNA from 1 species